UGGCUCCUACGGGGGGUAGCAGUGGGGAAUAUUGCACAAUGGGGGAAACCCUGAUGCAGCGACGCCGCGUGAAGGACGAAGUAUUUCGGUACGUAAACUUCUAUCAGCAGGGAAGAAAAUGACGGUACCUGACCAAGAAGCCCCGGCUAACUACGUGCCAGCAGCCGCGGUAAUACGGAGGAUGCGAGCGUUAUCCGGAUUUAUUGGGUUUAAAGGGUGCGCAGGCGGACCAUCAAGUCAGCGGUAAAAUCGUGGGGCCCAACCCCAUCCCGCCGUUGAAACUGGCGGUCUU
rnacentral:rRNA from 1 species